rnacentral:rRNA from 1 species
UGGUGCAUGGUUGUCGUCAGCUCGUGUCGUGAGAUGUUGGGUUAAGUCCCGCAACGAGCGCAACCCUUGUCUUUAGUUGCCAUCAUUAAGUUGGGCACUCUAGAGAGACUGCCAGGGAUAACCUGGAGGAAGGUGGGGAUGACGUCAAAUCAUCAUGCCCCUUAUGCUUAGGGCUACACACGUGCUACAAUGGGUAGUACAGAGGGUUGCCAAGCCGUAAGGUGGAGCUAAUCCCUUAAAGCUACUCUCAGUUCGGAUUGUAGGCUGAAACUCGCCUACAUGAAGCUGGAGUUACUAGUAAUCGCAGAUCAGAAUGCUGCGGUGAAUGCGUUCCCGGGUCUUGUACACACCGCCCGUCACACCACGGGAGUUGGAGACGCCCGAAGCCGAUUAUCUAACCUUUUGGAAGAAGUCGUCGAAGGUGGAAUCAAUAA